GGAGUUUGGCUGGGGCGG
rnacentral:snRNA from 1 species